rnacentral:rRNA from 1 species
UGGGGAAUUUUGGACAAUGGGCGCAAGCCUGAUCCAGCCAUGCCGCGUGAGUGAAGAAGGCCUUCGGGUUGUAAAGCUCUUUCAGGUGGAAAGAAAACGCAUGGGUCAAUACCCUGUGUGGAUGACGGUACCAUCAGAAGAAGCCACGGCUAACUACGUGCCAGCAGCCGCGGUAAUACGUAGGGUGCGAGCGUUAAUCGGAAUUCCUGGGCGUAAAGCGUGCGAAGGAGGUGAUGUAAGACAGAUGUGAAAUCCCCGGGCUCAACCUGGGAACGGCGUUUGUGACUGCAUCACUCGAGUACGGCAGAGGGAGGUGGAAUUCCGCGUGUAGCAGUGAAAUGCGUAGAUAUGCGGAGGAACACCGAUGGCGAAGGCAGCCUCCUGGGCCAGUACUGACGCUCAUGCACGAAAGCGUGGGGAGCAAACA